rfam:Nocardiopsis sp. CNR-923 NODE_17_length_93780_cov_156.065_ID_31, whole genome shotgun sequence.
GCCGGUCCUCGGUAGUGGUCCCCGGACGCCCCCGCGAUGGGUUCCGUGGACUUCGAUCGAUGACCGGC